rnacentral:rRNA from 1 species
CGGGAAAAGCUCAAAUUUAAAAUCUGGCGGUUUCACCGUCCGAGUUGUAAUUUAGAGAAGUGUUAUCCGCGCUGGACCGUGUACAAGUCUCCUGGAAUGGAGCGUCAUAGAGGGUGAGAAUCCCGUCUUUGCCACGGACUACCAGGGCUUUGUGAUGCGCUCUCGAA